GYAUAUGAAGAAUAGACGAACAUAAUAUGUCCAAUCAGUGUCGAACAAAAAGAAGAAAUUUGUUCUUGGCGGCAGGAACCUUGGUACAGCAUCAACUGACUGCCAGAUCUUAGAUUUAACAUAUUUAUGAGAUAAUAAAUGCAGACUCGGCUUGCACGUGUGUGUAAUGCAUCGUACAAUGGAAUGUGCUUAAUUGUAAUUCAUAGAACAACGAGGAUAUUACUACAAUCAGGAAACGUUUACUAAUGUAAAUCAGCCGAGAAAAGUAGCAUCUCCAGUGUAUAGUCUCAGGCCUACAGCAAACAUAACAAAAAUCGC